GAUGAACGCUAGCGGCAGGCUUAACACAUGCAAGUCGAGGGGCAGCGGGGUGUAGCAAUACAUCGCCGGCGACCGGCGCACGGGUGCGUAACACGUAUGGAAUCUGCCCUUUACUGGGGGAUAGCCCGGAGAAAUCCGGAUUAAUACCCCAUAACCAGCGAGGUGGCAUCACCUUGCUUUGAAAGCUCCGGCGGUAAAGGAUGACCAUGCGCACGAUUAGCUAGUUGGUGAGGUAACGGCUCACCAAGGCAACGAUCGUUAGGGGGCCUGAGAGGGUUAUCCCCCACACUGGUACUGAGACACGGACCAGACUCCUACGGGAGGCAGCAGUGAGGAAUAUUGCGCAAUGGAGGCAACUCUGACGCAGCCAUGCCGCGUGCAGGAAGAAGGCGCUACGCGUUGUAAACUGCUUUUAUCCGGGAAGAAACCCCAGGACGUGUCCUGGGUUGACGGUACCGGAGGAAUAAGCACCGGCUAACUUCGUGCCAGCAGCCGACGG
rnacentral:rRNA from 1 species